AUGGACCAAUCCAUCCCUUUUUCCCGUGCAUAUGCAUCGGACUCGGAUGACGAUGGUCCCGAUGAAGAAGUUGAUGAGGAGGGGUUCACGCCGAAGGAGGCCGAAGCAUUCAAGAAGGUAUUCGGGCGGGAUCCCAAGACACCAUUGUUCAAGGAUCUUAGUCUCGCGGAUGAAGCCGUUGUGGAUGGUGGCAAAUGCAUAUCUCUUGGAGCUAGGCCAAGGUGA
rnacentral:rRNA from 1 species